GGCCAAAACAGUCAAAGCAUGUGACAUUAAGGUGCAACCUUGCAAAACAUUUCUUGAGUGCACUGUUUGCAGACAGACUAACUUGAAAAGAUAUCCUUCCACUCGCAUCAGUGAAAGGAAAAGUUCUAGGCCUUUUGAGCUUGUACAUGCAGAUUUGCAAGGUCCAAAUGAAGUUUCCCGAGGGGGAUCUCGUUUUAUGUUAUUGCUGACAGAUGAUUUUUCAAGAUAUUCAUUUGUUUAUUUCUUGAAACACAAGUCUGAAGUUUUUGAAUAUUUUAAACAAUGGGUGAGAAUGAUUGAGAACAAACACAGCACAAAUGUUGCUGCAAUACAAACUGACAGAGGAGGUGAAUUCACGAGUCAAAAAUUCAAACACUGGCUUCUUAAGAGAGGAAUUCAGCACAGGAUGACUAAUCCUUAUAGCCCAUUUGAAAAUGGUGUUGCUGAGAGGAGAAUUGGUUUAGUAAAAGCUAUGAGAGAAGCUAUGAUGCUUGAUGCUAAUCUAUCUCCAAAGUAUUGGGCAGAAUGUUCAAGAACAGCUAUCUUUAACUUGAAUCGGUUAUGGAGCACUUCCAUUUCUGACAUUCCUUAUAGAAAGCUGUACAACAGAAAUCCCAAUUUUGAGUAUGCUCACACAUUUGGGCAACAAGCCUACGUUCUCUUACCUGAAGCUCAGAGAACAAAGCAAAGUAAANCNUCUNUUUGUNNUUUNNUGGGGUACUCAGCUGGAUCAAAAAGUUUUCGUUUUAUAGACAAAAAUGGCAAAAUAAUCAUUUCCAGAAGUGCCAAUUUCCUAGAGCAUGAGAACUGGGACAGAUUACAUUCUAACAAGGAAGUUUUUCUACAGCCAAUGCAGCAAGAAAGGGCAGAAGAGGGUGAUUCUUUUCAGAGCUCAGUUCCUUCUCCCUCAGUGUCUCAGCCUAAACUGAAACAUGAUUCCUCACAGAGCAAAGAGGAAGGCGUGACUAGUCAUUCAAGCCAGUCAGGGCAGACUGUCAUUUCUCAACACGCUGUACCUAAGAGUGAGAAGCAAGACUUUCCAGUCAGAGAAGGGGGGCGAAUUUUGCCCACAGCUCAAGCCGAAAACCAAGAUGGCGAUUUUUCUGAAGUUGAGCAAACUUCACAGAGAAUUUCUACGAGAUCUACAAAAGGAAUUCCACCAGAUAGAUAUGGAUUUACUCAGUUAGCUGAAGAAUUAAGAAAUAAUAUUCCAAAUUCUUACCAAGAAGUUUUGCAAUUAUCUAAAGAUGAACAAAAACUUUGGAUUGAUGCACUGAAUAAAGAAUUUUCUGUACUUAAGAGCCAGAAAGUAUUUACUGAGGCUACCUUACCUCACAAUGAGAAGGCAAUUACAGCCAAAUGGAUUUUUAGAAAGAAACUUUCUCCUGAGGGAAAAUUAAUUUUUAAAGCGAGAUUGGUAGCGCAAGGAUUUAAGCAACCUUUAAAUGAAGAUGAAAUGAAUUACUCACCAACUGCAAGAUCUCANAGCCUUGUUACUUUACUUACAGUNGCUGCCAAGAACAAUUUUGUUUGUAAACAUUUUGAUUUUGAAUGUGCAUAUCUGAAUGCCAAGCUUGAUGAGCAAAUCUUUUUGAACCCUCCACCAGGUUUUGAAAAGCAAAAUAAAAACACUGUUUAUCGUCUCCACAAAGCCCUGUACGGACUUCGAUGCUCCGCCCGCCAGUGGAACUUAUGUUUACAUGAAGUUUUAACAAAAAUAAAUUUUAAGCGUUCUGCUGCAGAUGCUUGUGUGUACACGAGGGGAAAACAUGACAAAAAGGUUUUUAUUUGUCUUUUUGAUGAAGAUUUGAUUUUCAGUGCCAAAACAACUUCUAUAAUUGAUCAGAUUUCAUCAGAAUUGUCCAAAACAUUUGUUCUUAAAGACCUGGGACAACUGAAAAGUUAUCUAGGCAUUGAAAUUGAAACAGUGAAA
ensembl:lncRNA